UGAAUUAGCUAGGGGUGCCGUAAGGCUGAGAAGGAUUUUCCUAACUCUUGUACCUGAUAUGGAUAAUACCAUCGUAGGGAAGCUUAUAAUUUGAAAA
rfam:Clostridium paraputrificum strain 373-A1 CP373A1_24, whole genome shotgun sequence.